rnacentral:pre_miRNA from 9 species
CUUUGUAUUCUUCCACAGCUUUCUUGAACUGCAUCUAUUACAGAACUGGUAGUAGUGCUUUUGCUUCCUUGCAAUUGCUUGCAUGCCACUGUACGGCUGGCUCCUUUUUUUUUUCUUCUUUUGUUUUGUUUUUGCGGUUCAAUAAAGCUGUGGGAAGAUACGAACA